UACAGAACAGGUCAAAAUAAAGGUUGAAAUACUGCAUAAUUCAAACAUCAUUUGUUGACAAAAUGGCAAUGUCCUUGACCCCUGAAGAAACGUCACGAUAUUAGGCCUACAGAAUAUGGAAUAAAUACCGUAUCUAACGGGAAGGUAGUGUAUGAGAACAGGGCAGAAUUGUAUCCGCAUAUAUUUCAUCUGCAUAACAUAAUUUUGACACGUUUAUAAGCCGAAGAAUGGUCCAACCAAAGUAGAUUCGAAUGUCGUAAAUUUCUAGCAAAUGUCGUUGAAAAGUCGGAUUCUGGAACAAUCAAAAUAUUACGAACGUGGCAGGCAAAUGUGAUGUUUUGAAGUCAUUUUAGCUGAUAUAUGUCAUUUGUCGGCCACAUGAUGGCUAGGAGUCGAACAAUCCACUAAAAACUACAAGACAAAGAGAUUAUUAUUAACAAAGACUAAGAAAUCCUAGGAUAUUAUAAAAAUGGCUGGAAUGCCAUUUGUGGCUGAUGUCUCAUACUAUCCAGCAGCUUGUAUAAGUUGCUUGUUCUUCCUGUUCUCCUUUAAGAUUGUCAGCCCUAAGUUAUCGCAGACAUGGAUUCCUGGAUAUAAUUUCCUGGCACCUGAUAAACAGGUGGAGUGGAACUCUCGAAUCAAUUCCAACGUCCAUUGUGCUCUUGUUAACACCAUGGUUGUGUAUGCAUUACUGAUGGAUGAUGAGCUGCAUAGAGACCCCAUCUGGGCUAACUCAGCGGUGGUGAAAUAUGAAUGUGCAAUAGUGGUAGGAUACAUGGCAUCGGAUCAGAUCAUAAUGUCUGUAUACCACUUUGCCACUGGGAGUGAAUACCUGCUCUACCUACUGCACCAUGGUGCCACCAUAUAUGCUUAUUACUAUGUCAUGACUUAUUCUACAUUUCCCUACUUUGCCAAUUUUCGUCUGUUGUGUGAAUUUUCGACUCCAUUUGUAAACCAAAGAUGGUUCAUGGAUGCACUUGGUUGUAAACGAUCAUCACCUGCAUUUAUAGCAAAUGGUCUGGGGUUGACAGUAGCCUUCUUCCUCGUCCGCAUUGCUAGCAUCCCAUUCUAUUGGCACAAAGUUUAUACUGUAUAUGGGACAGACUAUUACUGGAGUGUAGGGAAUAUACAUUAUGUCAUGGUGACGUCAUGCGUAACACUUGACAUACUUAACGUAUUCUGGUUCUCAAAAUUACUUAAAGGAGCACGGAAAGUUUUAAUGAAUAAAAAUCAGAAUACAAUACAGGCAAAAAUGAAUUAGAUGGCCAGCAGGAAGAAAAACUUCCUGUAAAUAAACCAUUUCAUCUUGUAUGUACACAUUCAAUGCAAUAUUUUAUAAGAUAGCAAGGAAUGAGAGAGAGAAUAUUAAGGUAUCGUUUGUAUUGUCAGAAGUGAAGUCGUAGCCAUAUAUGGGAUACUUUGUGUUUUGAUGAAAGUCUCUCCUUAUCUUUCAAGACACAUAUUCUAUUUCAGAUGUUGAUUUUCUUGAGAUAUAUCAAAAAUGUAUUUUCACACAAAAUGAACUACUGUAAACAGAAUGUAUCACUUUGUGCAAGUUGUAUUAUUUAUGAAUAUCAGAUUGAUAAACAAUAUGAAGUUAUGUUUUAGUCAUAAUUACCUUACAUACAUAUGAUUUUUGUUGUCGAAUUACACAAAAACUUUACUACAUGUAUUACUUGUAUUGGUAUGUUAUAAGCCUGGUCAUAUGGUUGACUAUAGAAUAUAAUAGAUUUAGAUCAUCUCAUUGAAUACUAGGGGAUCUGGACAAGAACACAUUUUUUAUUUUCCUUCCUGUGUAGGAAAAUCUUUAGGCCCCUCCCAGAUCCAACAGUGUAUUUUGAAUCAUGAUUCUUAUGGUCAUACUAUC
rnacentral:misc_RNA from 1 species